rfam:Enterococcus villorum ATCC 700913 genomic scaffold acvIF-supercont1.8, whole genome shotgun sequence.
CAUUUUAUGAUAUAAUAUACUUGUAGUAAGUUUAUGACGGUAGCUACUUAGGGGGGAUGCCUAUGUGUAUUUUCCUACUUCAUAGAAGAAGGGAGUAGCAUUUUUCGUCUGUUGCUGAAGCAAUUGGUUUGAUGAUGCAAUUUGGAUCAUUUAUUCUUGCUUUAUUUGGCAUUAU